GGGGCCAUAGCUCAGCUGGGAGAGCACCUGCUUUGCAAGCAGGGGGUCGGCGGUUCGAUCCCGCCUGGCUCCACCA
rnacentral:tRNA from 16 species